AACUAUAAACCAUCUAAAUUCUAACUCUCAUCAAAUUCAUUCAAAUUAACACGGAUUGAUGGAGGUACACCUGCUGCAUCAAGGGAACAAUUGGUUACAGAUUUCCAGGAAAAGGAUUCUAUCAAGGCAGCUGUGGUAUGGUAUUCUCUGUUGUGCAUUUCUUCCUUGUGUUUCCAUUAUCAGAAUUUUUUCUGUUGUAUUGGUUAAUAUUUUUGCUUGAGAUAAUGAUUUGAUGUGACAUGUUAUCAUUCAGUUAUCCAUUAAAGCUGGAGGAGUUGAAUUAACUUUAACUUCUGCAAGCACAGUUAUCUUUGCAUAACUAUCCUGGACUCCAGGUGACCUAAUUCUGGCCGAAGAUUGUGCUCAUAGAAUUGGCCAGUAUUCUCACUCUCAUGAAGUAGAAAGGAGAGAGCUGUUACUAGUUGCAUAACAACAUUAAGAAAACAGAUAAUAUCGAAUGAAAAGAACUCACGUCUUACUUUUUUUAGCAAAGGCAACAUGCACUGUUAUGGUUCUUUGACUAGUUAUUUCUUGUUUACAGCCUUACAGGUGUCUUCGGUAAAUAUAUAUUACUUGCUGGCAAAUGAUACGGUUGAUGACAUCAUAUGGGAUGUGGUGCAAUUCAAACUGGAUAAUUUGGGGCAGGUACAUCUCUACAUCAUCUUGGAACUAUCAUAUGUAAUGCAAAAUGAACAUAAUGCUUAGUUUCAUAUGGUAAAAUAAACUGGUGGUUCUAUUCUGGUUUAUAUUUAUAUUUUCUCAAGAUUUGAAGUCUGAGGUGGUGGUCUUCAAGGCCGAGUUGGAUAAAAGGUUUGAAUGUGGAGCUUGAAUCCAAGAACAAGAAGCUCAGUGAGGAUCUUGCUGCUGCUGAAGCUAAGAUGGUAGUAGCUGUUGGUACCAGUGGCAAGGUGGAUGAGCGCGCUGUCAUGAAACAUUUCAAGUGGCCUGAGAAGAAAGCCGAUGCCAUGCGAGAGGCUGCGGUUGAGUAUCAGGAGCUUAAGCUAUUAGAACAGGAGAUUUCCUCCUACACGGAUGACCCCGACAUUCCAUGUGGAGCUGCCUUGAAAAACAAAAAAUGGCCAGCCUCUUAGACAAGUCUGAACUGAGCAUACAGAGGCUAAUCAAGCUGCAAAAUUCUGUCAUGCGUUUGUACCAAGCGUACACAUUCCAACCGCUUGGAUGCUCGAUUCGGGGAUAAUGAGCAAGAUAAAGCAGGCUUCCAUGACUCUAGCCAAGAUGUACAUGAAAAGAGUGACUAUGGAGCUCGAAUCCAACUGGAACACAGACAGAGAAUCUAGCCAAGAUUCUCUUCUGCUUCAGGGUGUUCAUUGAUUUUCUUCUACUAUACCCUUUUGGACUCUUGGUUGUCACCUCCAAAAGCUGGAAUACUAACAUUCAUUACUAUUAUUCUUUUGUGUUUUCCUCCUUAUCUAUCUCCCUCCAAUGGUCCCAAAACAGAAGAGAAAACAAAAAUGGAGAAACACCACAUAUUCACAUCACAAUCAUGCAUGAGAUGAGGUUGAUCUUUAUGAAGAGGGAAUGGCAAUAUGCUAUCAAAAUGGUUACAAACUAGCAGCUUCCAAGAUCAACAUGUCACAAUCUAGGAAUAGGAUAAUAGUUCAGUGUUAUUAAAUUUCAACAGUGAAUUUGUUUGGUGUAUGUACUUGUGUUCAGUGUUUAUUGCUGUAAUAACAAUAAAUAAUUACGAGGAAAAAUGUUUACUUAGUUUAUAGCAGUGAUGUUCAAUA